AUGGGUAGUCUCGUGAAUCUCCAUUAUUUGGAUAAGGAGACAUUUAUGAAUGGCAAUGACGAUGAAGGGGAAGAACACAUGGUAUUUGAGUAUACACCAACCUAUGAGGAUGUAGUUGUGAAAGUUAGAAGUGUGUUACAUUGGAUGGACCCAAGUGAUGAGGUUAAACUUAUUGGAAGGUAUGAUGUUGGAGUGGGGGUGAAGUCUCGGUUGAAGAGUAUGCCUAUCACCUCGAAAUUGCAUUGGAAGGUGUACAAGGGUAAAGUAGAGCAAUCACAAGACAACUCACUUGAAUUAUUUGCCAGCAAGGUUGAUGCUCCUCCGCUACAAAUUGACUUGAACCGACAUGCCUCCUCCCCAAUACAUGAUGCUAGGGUUGAGGUGUAUGUCCCCAAUUCUUAUAGCCAACCACCAAGUAGUCAAUCAAAUGAAGCGGAGAUGAAUGAUAGAGCCACAGUAAUUGAAGACCCAAAGAUUCUAGCUAUGGAUCAUGUUGAUGAUGAUGAUGCUUAUGCGGAAGAAGAAGAGAUUCAUUACAAUCCAAUAGGUAACUUGGAUGUCAUUGUCCAUCAAUAA
rnacentral:rRNA from 1 species